CUGUGGAUCCUUUUGUACUACAGGUAUUCCGACCCGUGGAUGGCGUAUUGAAAUCGCAAUUCCGUGCCUUCAAGUUCCAGAGCUCAGAUUUCGUUAUCUUUCUGGCCACUGUUAGUGUUUGCUUAGAGCAAUGCGUAGAGGUUGACUGUUACGGUGAACCUGACAGAUCAGGCAGACGCAAGCGAGAAAUUCCCAAGUAUCUUCCUCACUACACAAACGAGGUUUUCGAGGUAGAAAUAUCCGCUUUCCUCAGGAUCAAAUCUCAUGUCCCGGGAGAGAUCAUCAUUGAAGAAAGCACAAACGACACCCUGGAUCUGUACGACGCAGAUUAUAGUGGUGAAUUUGGGGACCUCAUUUCAGAAAGUUUGGCAACAAGUUCUCAGUCAACUCAACAUACCUUGUGCAUAGUUCUCUUCAUCGUGGUUUUGAUUUCAUGUGUUAUUCGAAAUCCAUUAUCCUGAGAUUCAGCCAUCUCUAUCACUCAGUGACUUAAAGGCUUCAGAUAUAAUUAUCGAUAAGGAACUAUUGGAUGAAAUAUCGAUGAAAUUUACAUUCAAGAUCUGGGGAUUUAUACAAAGAUAAGACUGAAUCAGACUCCAUAGAAAGCGAACUUAAUUAAGUUUCGCUUUCUCAAAUAUGUUUGUUUACUUCAAGUAUAUUUCAGAUAUAUUUAAGGUUUAUAUCACCUUAAGGAACUGCUGGAAACCAUUGAAUAUGAUAAAUGUAAAGUAUUGUGUGGUAAAAAUGGUGAAUUAUCCAAAAUUCAUACAUAAUAAAUUCUGAGUUGAAAGAAUAAACUUGUGCGGUUAGGCAUGGUACCAGCUUUCUGACUAAGGAACGUGUAGCUUACAAAGUGAAUUUGCAUGCAUGGUUCUUUUCACGUUGCAGUGCUAUGUGAAAGAUUUAGUCAUCCAUCUGAAGAUAUCACGGUAAUCAUGCUGUGAAAAAAUGUAUGACUGUAUAACUACAAAAUAAAUACUUUUAUCGAGUGUAA